rnacentral:tRNA from 1 species
GAGCAUAAUAUAAUAAGUAUAUCUUGAUUACAACAAGAAGGUUUAGCCCUAAAAACCUAAAUAACUCU